CCUACGGGUGGCAGCAGUGGGGAAUAUUGGACAAUGGGCUGACCCCUGAUCCAGCGACGCCGCGUGAGUGAAGAAUUAUUUCGGUAUUUAAAGCUCUAUCAGCAGGGAAGAAAGAAAUGACGGUACCUGACUAAGAAGCCCUGGCGAACUACGUACCAGCAGCCGCCGUAAUACGUAGGGGGGCAGCGUUAUCCGGAUUUACUGGGUGUAAAGGGAGCGUUGACGUCGAUGCAAGCCUGAAGUGAAAGGCGGGGGCCCAACCCCCGGACUGCUUUUGAAACUGUAUGGCUGGAGUGCAGGAGAGGUAAGUGGAAUUCGUGGUGUAGCGGUGAAAUGCGUAGAUAUUAGGAGGAACACCAGUGGCGAAGGCGGCUUACUGGACUGUAACUGACGUUGAGGCUCGAAAGCGUGGGGAGCAAACAGGAUUAGAUACCCCAGUAGUC
rnacentral:rRNA from 1 species